GUACCGACAUGGCAAGUGAAGGAGAGCAAUGCCGAAGUGAAGUUGUUGCCCAAGCUUGUGGAGGUCCUUCACAACACGGAAAAGGAGAGUCAACUCAAGAACUUCAAGGUAAAAUAACUAACUCUUACACUUUUGUGCAUGUGAAUGAUAAUUGUGUGGCUAGUAGCCCAUUGAGUGUGAGUAGUAGCUUACUUACUUAUG
rnacentral:lncRNA from 1 species